rnacentral:rRNA from 1 species
UCUGGUGGGUAUAGCUGUAGGGAAACACCCGUUCCCAUUCCGAAUACGGAAGUAAAGUCUACAGCGUUGAUGAUACUUGGCUGGAGACGGCCCGGGAAAGUAGAUACUGCCAGAU